CUCCUUCGCCUCCUCCGAGGCGUCCAGGGUAGGUGCAUAGGCGCUGAUGAUCACAAGGGGUUGGGAUUGACACAGAGCUCGUCCGCUCCAGAAGAAGGUGUACCCGUGCCGAGGCUCCUCGAUCUGCCCGGCACCAGGGAGACGGGUCUCGGAGAGGGCCACAAUGGCCAGGCCGAGCUUCUGAAUCUCAAGGGCGAUGAGGGCAGUCCUGCGCUCCGGUCUAUUUGCUCUUGCAUUGUCCAUCAGGGAUGAAUCUGCUGGAGGCGGGUCUCCAGCCGAUCGGUGGCGGUGAUGGGUGUGUUUAGGCCGCCUUUUAUUGGCCCUUCCUCGGAUUGAGGGGAGCAGCGCUACGACUAAAGAGUCCUGCUCCGCCAGCGUGGUCGCUGCCUCUCCCCUGCACCAUCACCAGUUCGCAAGGGGAGCGACCAUCGUGCCACGGCCGCCGACGUGUGGUUGUGGAACUAGGGACGUGUGCCCUCAUCUGAGCCUGUCCCCGACGCCCCGCGCCAUCGCCGCCGGACUUCUUGAGGUUAAGGGGAUCGG